rnacentral:rRNA from 1 species
ACUCUAGUUCGACUUUGUGAAAGACCACUACUUUUAACGUUAUUUUACUUAUUCCGUGAAUCGGAAGCGGGGCACUGACCCUCUUUUUGGACCCAACGCUUGCUUGCAGGCCGAUCCGGGCGGAAGACAUUGUCAGGUGGGGAGU